GAGGAAAACGAAGCCGACAAGCUUACUGGUGCUCGAGUGACUCCAUUCGAACCAACUAUUUGCUUUCUUUGUUCGAGUGAUUCGAUUCUCUGUUUUUAUUGAGGAACUCUGUUGCAAAGUGACUAUAUAUCAAAACCAUGUUGUCAGAAAAGUGUAAAAAAAAAUCCUAAACUUGUGGACCGGACUUUGUAGUGACUGCGUGUUAUACUUCAGCGCAUUUCAUCUCAUCAUCCCCAAGAGUUUCACCCUGUUUCCUCGCCUCUUCUUUCAUUUCCGUCUGCCAGCGGUGUAAGAGCUUGAAGGCUGGCCCCCGUCAGGUCACUGGAAAAAGCUUCAGUUGUCCAAGUCCUUUUCAAUUUCCUUCAAAAGCCUUAGCUCCAUCUUUUUCUACUUCUGCUUCUCUUUCUUCAAGUCUGGUUGAUCAGGGCCUGCUGGUUUACGCUUCACGGCACAACUAUUGCUGCUGUCUCUUGCGGAUUACAAUUAGCAAACAUUAGAAAACAAAAUCUAGCAUAGCCAUUGACUUACAGCGCUCCAUUAUCUAGUGCAGUCUGGUCGUUGGUGAUAGUCAGAACGGUGCUGGCUUUGGACUUUUCACGUUGGCCAGCCACAUUUUAGGUGCCGUGAUCAAUCCUGCCCGGAGUCUGCAUUCUUGACACAACAGGAAAAUCCAUGCCCGAGUCUCGAACUGGAUCUCCGCAUCGUAGAGAAGUAGGAUCAUGCUGGAUAUCAUGAGGCAAUAAUGCGUCAUACCCCAACUUGAGUCUCUGCAGUACCUGUUGUUCCUCGUCAAGGAGUAGCAAGUUAACGUUGUUGAUCAUUGAGUAUGCUCAAAUCGUUUUCGAG
rnacentral:lncRNA from 1 species